AUUGAACGCUGGCGGCAGGCCUAACACAUGCAAGUCGAGCGGAUGAAGGGAGCUUGCUCCUGGAUUCAGCGGCGGACGGGUGAGUAAUGCCUAGGAAUCUGCCUGGUAGUGGGGGAUAACGUCCGGAAACGGGCGCUAAUACCGCAUACGUCCUGAGGGAGAAAGUGGGGGAUCUUCGGACCUCACGCUAUCAGAUGAGCCUAGGUCGGAUUAGCUAGUUGGUGGGGUAAAGGCCUACCAAGGCGACGAUCCGUAACUGGUCUGAGAGGAUGAUCGGUCACACUGGAACUGAGACACGGUCCAGACUCCUACGGGAGGCAGCAGUGGGGAAUAUUGGACAAUGGGCGAAAGCCUGAUCCAGCCAUGCCGCGUGUGUGAAGAAGGUCUUCGGAUUGUAAAGCACUUUAAGUUGGGAGGAAGGGCGGUAAGUUAAUACCUUGCUGUUUUGACGUUACCAACAGAAUAAGCACCGGCUAACUUCGUG
rnacentral:rRNA from 1 species